rnacentral:rRNA from 1 species
UACGAAGGGGGCUAGCGUUGCUCGGAAUCACUGGGCGUAAAGGGUGCGUAGGCGGGUUUUUAAGUCAGGGGUGAAAUCCUGGAGCUCAACUCCAGAACUGCCUUUGAUACUGAAAAUCUUGAGUCCGGGAGAGGUGAGUGGAACUGCGAGUGUAGAGGUGAAAUUCGUAGAUAUUCGCAAGAACACCAGUGGCGAAGGCGGCUCACUGGCCCGGUACUGACGCUGAGGUGCGAAAGCGUGGGGAGCAAACAGG